rnacentral:lncRNA from 10 species
AGCCUACACCAAGGGAAGAGUCAGGGGAGAAGGAACACAAGACUCCGGAAGCAUGCCAGCGUAUAAAACCACACUUUGCCUCAUUGGUUCGUGCCUCAGCUUCCAAUCUGGACAUGGAGCACAAUAACAGUGGGCCCACUGCUCUCCGAAUUCCUGCGCGCACUUGAAGGGAGUGUCUGGUGCAGGCAUGCAGGGAGGAAGAAUGACUCUGAGCUUGACCAUUCAACUUCGAAACUUUAACAUCAAUGGAUCAGCACACACUGGUGUACGGUCUGCUAUGCAUGCAGCCCUGUGCUAGGCAAAAGAAGUAUCAGACCAGGAACUGACAGCCUCACUGCAACAGGAAGAGAGGCUUCACACAAUAAGCGUUUCAUUCAACCAGGCUGGACCUGUGCUUAUUGAGUUGAACAUCACUGAGCACAAAAUGCAAGCCAGACACCAUAAGAGCUCAUUCUAUUCAUCUAAAAGCACCGGUAAUUAACGAUGCUAAUAAAU